rnacentral:rRNA from 1 species
GGACAAUGGGCGCAAGCCUGAUCCAGCAAUCCCGCGUGCAGGAAGAAGGCCUUCGGGUUGUAAACUGCUUUUGUACGGAAGGAAAAGGUUCUGGUUAAUACCUGGGGCACAUGACGGUACCGUAAGAAUAAGCACCGGCUAACUACGUGCCAGCAGCCGCGGUAAUACGUAGGGUGCAAGCGUUAAUCGGAAUUACUGGGCGUAAAGCGUGCGCAGGCGGUUUUGUAAGACAGGCGUGAAAUCCCCGGGCUCAACCUGGGAAUUGCGCUUGUGACUGCAAGGCUGGAGUGCGGCAGAGGGGGAUGGAAUUCCGCGUGUAGCAGUGAAAUGCGUAGAUAUGGGGAGGAACACCGAUGGCGAAGGCAAUCCCCUGGGCCUGCACUGACGCUCAUGCAAGAAAGCGUGGGGAGCAAACAGGAUUAGAUACCCUGGUAGUCCACCCCCUAAACGAUGUCA